rnacentral:rRNA from 1 species
AUUGAACGCUGGCGGCAUGCCUUACACAUGCAAGUCGAACGACGUUACGGGGGCAACUCCGUAGCGAGUGGCGAACGGGUGAGUAAUGCAUCGGAACGUGCCCUCUCGUGGGGGAUAACCAGUCGAAAGAUUGGCUAAUACCGCAUGAGCUCGAGAGAGGAAAGCGGGGGAUCCGCAAGGACCUCGCGCGAGAGGAGCGGCCGAUGCCCGAUUAGCUAGUUGGUGGGGUAAUAGCCCACCAAGGCGACGAUCGGUAGCUGGUCUGAGAGGACGACCAGCCACACUGGGACUGAGACACGGCCCAGACUCCUACGGGAGGCAGCAGUGGGGAAUUUUGGACAAUGGGGGCAACCCUGAUCCAGCCAUGCCGCGUGUGUGAAGAAGGCCUUCGGGUUGUAAAGCACUUUCGGACGGAACGAAAUCGCGCGGGUGAACAAUCCGCGUGGAUGACGGUACCGUAGGAAGAAGCACCGGCUAACUACGUGC